AUUGAACGCUGGCGGCAUGCCUAACACAUGCAAGUCGAACGAGUGGCGGACGGGUGAGGACUGUCCGGGAAACUGACUGAUGGAGGGGGACACCUACUCGAACCGGAUACCACUUCCGCCUACCACCGGAUUUAUCCAGAUGGGAUUAUCUAGUAGGUGGGGUAAAGGCUCACCUAGGCGACGAUCCCUAGCUGGUCUGAGAGGAUGACCAGCCACACUGGAACUGAGACACGGUCCAGACUCCUACGGGAGGCAGCAGUGGGGAAUAUUGCACAAUGGGCGAAAGCCUGAUGCAGCCAUGCCGCGUGUAUGACGAAGGCCUUCGGGUUGUAAAGUACUUUCAGCGGGGAAGCGUUACCCGCAGAAGAAGCACCGGCUAACUCCGUGCCAGCAGCCGCGGUAAUUC
rnacentral:rRNA from 1 species